rnacentral:sRNA from 1 species
CGAAAAGCGAAAAGCGCAAAGCAAAGCCUCAAUGAGUUGAAUGAAUGUGCUGAAUGCUAAUUUGCAGCCUAGAAGCUGCUCCCUUUCUGCCUGAUUGUGUGCAACUUUUUGUGGUCCACCAUAAUCCUAACUAAACUCAAUUUCUAUUCACCCGCACACACACACACACACACACACACACACAUUCAGUUUUCAAUCUAACCAUAAUAAUAUAGGGGCAGCAGUUUGUCUCUUCAUCCAAGUUUUGAUUAUCAGCUGCCAAGAGUAGGCAUCUGUUCAACUGUCUAUCCGACAUGUUAACCCCAAGAGCAGGGUGACGAGGCAACUACAAUUUGUGUUGCAACAAUUGGGGAUAACCCAGCUGCAGCUGCACGGCCAACUUUUGGCAAGACGUUGGUCUCGGUUUUGGUCUUGCUCUUGGUUCUGCCUCUGGCCUGGCCGACAGACACUUGACACUUGACGGCAACUGAAAGAUGAAAAGUUUUCAACGAUGUUGACGACGACGACAACGGCGACGACCACCAUCACCCACGUGGAGGACAAGUUUUCUCCACACCAACACAGAAUGAACCACAACAAAGCUAUCAAAAAGUAUAUUAUAAAAAGAUAGAGGAACACCGAGAGAAUGCCAACAAUGGCAAUAACCAAAGUAUGCAACACAACGCGCACUCUUCUGCCAACUGCAAUCACAAAUUGUGCGUCGAUUUCGCACAUUCAACUUCAACAAGUUUCUUGCAACUCCAUUUGCCCCUUCUCGACAACGCUGUUCCCUCAUUUCUGAGUGCGAGUACGUGGGCGUAUAUAAUUUCUCAUUAAUUUGUGCAACGUCUGCGUCCAGCUGGCACAGAGCGCCGCACACUCAAAAUGGCUUCCGUUUCAUUAAAAUACAAUUAAAAUGUUUAAAUAGUCAGCACAGCAGGUGUACAAUAGAACCAAACCAGCCAACGGAGAGCCAACAAUCCAGCGAUAAAUUAUGGACAAACUUUUGAAAGCAACUUCGAGUAGCUGCGCGAAAUCUAAUCAGUUACAAAAGGCUUAAAGCACAUAAUCUGAAAUAAGAAAAGGAACAUAAGACCGAAACAGACCAAACUUUUGGUAGUCGAGGUUUCUGCUGGAUGCUGGAAGUUUUACUUUAAUGAUGUGUAAAAGCUGCUAUUUACACAGCGUAACGCUUAUGAAUGUCCCAUAAAGAAGAAAGCAAGACAAACACAGAUCCAGUUCAUACAGUGCAUAUU